GAUGAAGAACGCAGCGAAAUGCGAUAAGUAAUGUGAAUUGCAGAAUUCAGUGAAUCAUCGAAUCUUUGAACGCACAUUGCGCCCCCUGGUAUUCCGGGGGGCAUGCCUGUUCGAGCGUCAUUUCACCACUCAAGCCUCGCUUGGUAUUGGGCAACGCGGUCCGCCGCGUGCCUCAAAUCGACCGGCUGGGUCUUCUGUCCCCUAAGCGUUGUGGAAACUAUUCGCUAAAGGGUGUUCGGGAGGCUACGCCGUAAAACAACCCCAUUUCUAAGGUUGACCUCGGAUCAGGUAGGGAUACCCGCUGAACUUAAGCAUCUCAAUAAGCGGAGGA
rnacentral:misc_RNA from 1 species